rnacentral:rRNA from 1 species
AUUGAACGCUGGCGGCAGGCCUAACACAUGCAAGUCGAGCGAGCGGCGGACGGGUGUGUAUUGUCUGGGAAACUGCCUGAUGGAGGGGGGUAACUAUUGGGAACGGUAGCUAUUAUACCAUAUCAUCUCAUGUGUCCCGAUGGGAUUAGCUAGUGGGUGGGGUAAUGGCUCACCUAGGCGACGAUCCCUAGCUGGUCUGAGAGGAUGACCAGCCACACUGGAACUGAGACACGGUCCAGACUCCUACGGGAGGCAGCAGUGGGGAAUAUUGCACAAUGGGCGCAAGCCUGAUGCAGCCAUGCCGCGUGUAUGAAGAAGGCCUUCGGGUUGUAAAGCACUUUCAGCGGGGAGGCGUUACUCGCAGAAGAAGCACCGGCUAACUCCGUGCCAGCAGCCGCGGUAAUAC